rnacentral:rRNA from 1 species
ACGUAGGUGGCAAGCGUUAUCCGGAAUUAUUGGGCGUAAAGGGUGCGUAGGCGGUUUGAUAAGUCUGAGGUGAAAGUUCGGGGCUCAACUCCGAAUUGCCUUAGAAACUGUCAGACUUGAGUGUAGGAGAGGGCAAUGGAAUUCCAUGUGUAGCGGUAAAAUGCGUAGAUAUAUGGAGGAACACCAGUGGCGAAGGCGGUUGCCUGGCCUAUAACUGACGCUGAGGCACGAAAGCGUGGGGAGCAAAUAGGAUUAGAUACCCUAGUAGUCCACGCUGUAAACGAUGAUUACUAAGUGUUGGAGCAAUUCAGUGCUGCAGUUAACGCAAUAAGUAAUCCGCCUGGGGAGUAUGCACGCAAGUGUG